rnacentral:rRNA from 1 species
GACGAACGCUGGCGGCGUGCUUAACACAUGCAAGUCGAACGGAAAGGCCCUGCUUUUGUUGGGUGCUCGAUUGGCGAACGGGUGAGUAAAACGUGUGUAACCUGCCCCUGUCUUUGGGGUAACUUCUGGAAACUGGGGCUAAUACCGCGGAGGAUCUUCUGCUGCAUGGGGGUGGUUGGAAAGUUUCGGCGGUUGGGGAUGGACUCGCGGCUUAUCGGCUUGUUGGUGGGGUAGUGGCUUUCCAAGGGUUUGACGGGUAGGCGGCCUGAGAGGGUGACCGGCCACAUGGGUCCUGAGAUACGCACCAGACUCCUACGGUAGGCAGCAGUGGGGAAUAUUGCACAACGGGCGGAAGUCUGAUGCAGAAACGCCGCGUGCGGGAUGACGGCCUUCGGGUUGUAAACCGCUUUCGCCUGUGACGAAGCGAUCGUGACGGUAAUGGGUAAAGAAGCAACGGCUAACUACGUG